rnacentral:rRNA from 1 species
GUGCCAGCAGCCGCGGUAAUACCGGCAGCCCGAGUGAUGGCCGAUAUUAUUGGGCCUAAAGCGUCCGUAGCUGGCCGCACAAGUCCGUCGGGAAAUCCACUCGCUUAACGAGUGGGCGUCCGGCGGAAACUGUGCGGCUUGGAACCGGAAGGCUCAGGGAGUACGUCCGGGGUAGGAGUGAAAUCCCGUAAUCCCGGACGGACUACCGAUGGCGAAAGCACUCUGAGAAGACGGCUUCGACAGUGAGGGACGAAAGCCAGGGUCUCCAACCGGAUUAGAAACCCUAGUAGUCC